CAGUAGCUGAAGAAUCGCAAACAGGACGAAACGCGCGUCAAACUG
rnacentral:hammerhead_ribozyme from 1 species